GGAUGUUCCUUCUGCAGCUCUUACGGAGCAAGAGGAAGCAGGCUUUGAAACACAAUGUUCAUUGAAAUCGGCUUUCAUCUAAGGAAUCCCAUGGUGGCUCCUGGUCCACGCGAUGUGCAUUCUGUCUGCAGCUGGGCUCUCCUGAUGCAUUUCCGUUGUUUGUUCUAGGGACACCUCAUCCUAUAUAUUGCUGCACUUCCUUCUCUGCUCCACUCCAUCUGGACUUACCAACCUAUAAUGCUAAGAAACCAACAGGACAUCUACAAAGGCCUGGGUCAUGGCUGCAAUUCUCUGCACCUAAGAAUAAAUGAGAAAGAAAUAAGAACACAAUAAAAGAAAGAGAAGUGGAGGAUCAAACUCUGCAGGUUAUGUGUAGCGUAUUUUUAGUGACCUCGAAUUAUGGGAUUAAAAAUGGAAUGAAAAAGAGGUGAUUUUGAAGGUAGAUGAUUGAAUACAAGCUCUUGAACUUGCUCUAUGGGAAGGUAACAAAAGCAGAGAUGACAUAAAUUCAUGUGUAUUUAGAAAAUCAGGAACAAGGAAGAAUAUUGAGACCAUUCUUUGGGUGGGGAACUGAUAGAAACUACUAUUAUUAAAAUAAUUAAAAUAAUAAGGCAAGAAAAACCUUUGUUAAAACAAUAAAUAGGAGGGUCCACAAUCCCUGGGAGAGAAGGGGCUUGAGGGUCCCUCAGUGUCUCACCUCCCCUUCCAUUCUUCCCAAACCUCAUCUCUUAAUCACUUUGCAAAGUCAAGAAGCAGACAGC
rnacentral:lncRNA from 9 species